GGCGUGUCCGCCUUUUCAAGUCUGAGGCCGCGCCUGUUACCUGCGAAGACUGGACUCUCUCAACAGGGGACCCGUGAGGCGCGUGUGGCGGCACUCAGAAGCUCCUAUGUGAAGGACCAGACCUAGACUAGGAGCGCCUGAGGAGAGACCUUGGGGAUGCUGCAGGAGGCCUCGGCCAACACAACGGUUAGCUCUCCAACCCCGUGUCCGGCCGACUGACCGAGGCGAGGGGAGUGAGCGCGCGUGCGCACUGGCGCGCGCCAGGCAUUAAAAAAACCAGCGCGAGACCCCGCACGCGCGCGCGCGCGCGCGUUCGAAAAGAAAAAAAAGUCCUCCCCGCGGGGGCCCGCGGCAAUUUAGGCCGGAGUUGGUCGGCGAGCGCGCGUGCGCGAGCGCGCUCAGACGCCCUUCUCUACCGCUCCCCUCGGUUGGGGGUCUAGCGCAUUGCUCUUCUGCCCCCGCCUCUCCCGAGGCUCACGCCCUCGGGGUAAGUACCUCGCGCCUUGCGGGGAGGGAGGAAGAGGGUCCAGCGAAGGAAGGGAGAAGGCGGACAGGGCUGGGAAAAAGGGAAAAACCGCUCUCGAAAAGCGAGUAGCACGGCCAGCGGGUUGGAGUCUGCAGAAGACACGCCUCCAUCUCUCACGCCCCUCGGGGCUGCGGAAGUACUCUAGAGACUCGAGAGGCUCGGCGGCGACAGGUGGACUACCUUUCCCGGGAGGCGGCGCGGCGCCGCGCCUCCAGCUCCCGGCAGCACUUGCGCGUCAGGCUUUUCUCAGCUUGCCGCCGCCUGGGGCGAAACUACAGUUCCCAGGAGGCCUCGCGCGAAGCGGCUUGGAAGUGGGCAGCCUGGAAGUCACUCGGGCCACCGGAGCUGGCGGCGUCUUUAGCGAGCCGCGCGGUUCUGGACGCCUCGGUCGUGGGGCCCGCGGGGCGGGCAGCCUGGACGCCCAGGGACCGUUGGCAAAACAGCCUCCCCGGGAACGUGCCUGUUGGCGAAGACCUGCCGUCUCUUGGGGAGCUCCGCCGGCUGUGUUCCUGCGGCUGCUGAAUGAGUCGCUGCUGGGAGCUGGCGCGGCAGGUUCCCGUUUCCGCAUUCCAGACACCCCGGCCGGGGGGAGGCACCACCCACCCGAUGGCGAGGGCGAGGCCGAGGGCGGCCUGCUGAGCGCAGGCAGGUGGCCUUGGCCUGGAGGAGACCUGGGAUGGGAGCUGAGAGCCUGGAGCUCCCCUCACGGUCACCCGGCUGCCUUUGAUCCGCGCUGUGCUCAGGACGUGUUCCAAUGCACCGUCUUUGACCUUGGCUCUCAGAGGACCCUCAAGGAGCACUAGUGUCCAGAACCUACUAAGG
rnacentral:lncRNA from 1 species